CCAGCAGCCACCGGAGGCAGUGAGAUAAUGGAGGAAGAAUGUAGGGAGACCUCCAGUGGACCGCACUCCUUCUAGCGAGCCGCGGAAACCAUAGAGAUCAGGGCUCAGCCGGAGGGCCGGCCCACUGCUGUCACGUGGCCUCCAUCCGUGCGCUUUAUUGGCUGGUGCUGGCUUUACGGGGUUGAAUUUUGGACGCUGCCUGCCAUUCGUGGGACCGAGUUUCAGGCAGCUGGAAUAAAGAGAGACAUCGGGGGAAAGCCGCGAGAAGGCCAGCGUCCCUGGCUGGGAGCAGAGCUAGCCGAGUAGGGCGCCCGGCUGUCAAACUGGCCGGCGCAGUGCACGCUGGGCCGCCCCGGAGCGGUCGCAGAGCCCGUCGGGAGUCGUAGUCCGGGACGGGCCCGCGGCAUUGUCCGCGACGCAGCUCGGGAUCCGGGUCGGGGUGUCGGCCGGGUUGCUGCCGGGCACCGUCGAGCGUUAGCCACCCAGCAUUGAGCUGCCAGCGGCUGUUCUCCCUAAGCACCCUCGCUCACGUCGCCUCGCCUCGCCUCGCCUGACCGGCCGCAGCCUUGGAUACCAGCCUUAAAUCGAGCCGACUACGGCCCAGCCCCGCCCGCGGCGAGGUGCGCGGGGUUCGGUGCCAGCCGCUCGCCCCUGGCGGGGCCAGCCUCUUGAUGCACCGGGGACGGCCCCCAGCUAGAGUUGGCUUCAGCGGAAUACCUACUGUGCGGGAUUAUUCAACAAGCCGAUUGAUCACAUUCUUCAGCUCUAGCAGUGCAAAGGCUUCACUGAAAAAGAACAUUACAAAUUUUUUUUGAAAGAAAUUUGGGGGAAUCCACUGAAGACCUACAUUUCCCGGAAGGUUAACAGCCCCCUUCUCAGUUUUCCUGCUGCUCCUAUCAGUGACAAAUCAGCGUAUUAGAACAUGCAUGCUGGCUGAUCAUUCUGAUCAAGUCAACAAGCUUCACAACUUACUCAAUGAGGUCGUCCGUGAGAACUUCACUGUUUUACGGGGACAGGAGCUACUUCUUUGCUGAACUGCAUCACGGUUUCAACUGCUGAGGUUUUCUUCAAGCUUUUGCAUUGUUUGGAAUGUGAAGGGCAUGGCCGAGACACACUUUGAGGUUCCCACUGCAUUGUUACACCUCCCCCCUCACUUCAGGGCCAGGUAACACCAAGAAGGACGCCAUGAGAGCGAAGGCCGUUGGGUCACCGCCCUUUGCUCUCGCGCUGCGCGUCUCCCUGCCAUCAACCGCCGCAACUGGCGCUGGGAGCGGUUGAGGGCGGCCGGCCUCGCGCUGGAACCUCGCCCGCCUCAAGGCUCCUGCGGCGGCACACGGGGCAGGCCAGGACCCGCCCUAGGAGGGCCCCGCUGGAGAUGUGGAAAUGGAGGGACGCGGCACCUGGGCGCUUCCUGGGGCCAGACAACGCCCCCUCAUUGGAACCUCCAUGACCCUGCCUCUGAGAAACCAGCGCGUCCGCAACGAUCACUCCUAAUUUUCGGUAAUACAAACCUGCAGUCCAUGCACUUAGGUAACACCCUUGCUGAAAGGUUUACCUUUGGAGGGUUUAUCCUAAAGCAAAGUAUCCUCAAAUUGCAUGUCUUGCAUUCCCUUUGGAUGGCAUUGAUUUCAUUCCUGCUCAUGCCUUUCAAAAAAUAGUAUGCCCUGUUUUCCUACUCAGUCUGGAGGUUCCAUUAAAGAGUAUUUCUGGCAAAGAUUUUUAGACCUGAAAACACACUCCAAAAUAUAUUUUCUUCUGACUCCAUUCCCAGAGUUUUUCCUACCGCAUUCAAAUGAUUUCUAGAAAUGUUUUUGUUGUAGCCUUGAUCAAUUUCAGUCGAUAAAGCAGCAGAUAGUAAGGGAACAAUUCCACGCUCCCCACCCCUGACUCUGCAACACAGUGCAGAAUUCCAGUUGGCAAUAAAAAACUAGUAGAGAAGGAACUCACUGACUUCAGUUUGUAAUACCGUCAGAAGAAACUUUAAUCGUCACAUCCUUUCUGCUCAUUUGCAGGAUUCCUAUCAUCUGUCUCCACGUGAUAACACUGAAGAGCCUUCACAUUGAUGCAGGCCCAGGGCCUCAAGUGCAGAGACUGAGAGCUCUGCAGGACACAGCAUGGAGCCGCCAUUCCUCUACUGGGUGGAGGAGCAUGUGUCCUCUGAACAGGGGAU
rnacentral:lncRNA from 1 species